AGUGAACGCUGGCGGUAGGCCUAACACAUGCAAGUCGAACGGCAGCACAGAGGAGCUUGCUCCUUGGGUGGCGAGUGGCGGACGGGUGAGGAAUACAUCGGAAUCUACUCUGUCGUGGGGGAUAACGUAGGGAAACUUACGCUAAUACCGCAUACGACCUACGGGUGAAAGCAGGGGAUCUUCGGACCUUGCGCGAUUGAAUGAGCCGGUGUCGGAUUAGCUGGUUGGCGGGGUACAGGCCGACCAAGGCGACGAUCCGUAGCUGGUCUGAGAGGACGGUCAGACACACUGGAACUGAGACACGGUCCAGACUCCUACGGGAGGCAGCAGUGGGGAAUAUUGGACAAUGGGCGCAAGCCUGAUCCAGCCAUACCGCGUGGGUGAAGAAGGCCUUCGGGUUGUAAAGCCCUUUUGUUGGGAAAGAAAUCCAUCUGGUUAAUACCCGGGUGGGAUGACGGUACCCAAAGAAUAAGCAUCGGCUAACUUCGUGCCAGCCGCCGCAGUAA
rnacentral:rRNA from 1 species